GGGAGUGGCUCAAUGGUAGAGCAGUGGUCUCCAAAACCACCGGUUGCGAGUUCGAAUCUUGUCUCCC
rnacentral:tRNA from 1 species